CGCCAAAGAUUGAUCGGUAUGGGAUGGACCUGCGUCUGAUUAGCUGGUUGGUGAGGUAACGGCUCACCAAGGCAACGAUCAGUAGCCGACCUGAGAGGGUAAUCGGCCACAUUGGAACUGAGACACGGUCCAAACUCCUACGGGAGGCAGCAGUGGGGAAUAUUGCACAAUGGGCGCAAGCCUGAUGCAGCAACGCCGCGUGAGUGAAGAAGGUCUUCGGAUCGUAAAACUCUGUCCUUAGGGAAGAAACAAAUGACGGUACCUAAGGAGGAAGCCCCGGCUAACUACGUGCCAGCAGCCGCGGUAAUACGUAGGGGGCGAGCGUUAUCCGGAAUUAUUGGGCGUAAAGAGUACGUAGGUGGUUUUGUAAGCGUGGGGUGAAAGACCGAGGCUUAACUUCGGUUAGCCUUGCGAACUGCAAGACUUGAGUGCAGGAGAGAAAAGUGGAAUUCCUAGUGUAGCGGUGAAAUGCGUAGAUAUUAGGAGGAACAUCAGUGGCGAAGGCGACUUUCUGGACUGUAACUGACACUGAGGUACGAAAGCGUGGGUAGCAAACAGGAUUAGAUACCCUGGUAGUCCACGCCGUAAACGAUGAGCACUAGGUGUCGGGGUCGCAAGGCUUCGGUGCCGCAG
rnacentral:rRNA from 1 species